CAGUAGCCGCGGUAAUACGUAGGUGGCAAGCGUUGCCCGGAAUUAUUGGGCGUAAAGGGCUCGCAGGCGGUUUCUUAAGUCUGAUGUGAAAGCCCCCGGCUCAACCGGGGAGGGUCAUUGGAAACUGGGAAACUUGAGUGCAGAAGAGGAGAGUGGAAUUCCACGUGUAGCGGUGAAAUGCGUAGAGAUGUGGAGGAACACCAGUGGCGAAGGCGACUCUCUGGUCUGUAACUGACGCUGAGGAGCGAAAGCGUGGGGAGCGAACAGGAUUAGAUACCCCAGUAGUCCCUGUCUCUUAUAC
rnacentral:rRNA from 1 species